GUUCUAUGGGUUGGUUGAAAAGCAAGUAAUCUCCUUUGAAAUCCUGGGCCCUCUGAGAUUUGGACUUCUCAAGUCUUCUUAAACUAAUCAGGUGCGGGGUUCUAUUGUGCUGAUGUCGUGGCAGCACGAGGGAGCAGCAACGUGGAUCAAAGGCUAUCUUCCUCCUGAUCCACAUCUGUGAGAUCCCCAUCGAUUGGAAAGGGGAACGAAACAUUCUGUAUUAGGGUGUGGAAACCUCUAAAAACCGUGAGGCUGACGGUGAUACGUAUCGGGUUUACAACCUCUCUGGAACGAAAAAGAUAAGAUUGGAGGGACUGUGAGGAAGAAAGCAUGACAGUCAAAUCCACAAACGCCAUGUGGCAGCCAGGUUAGUCGAGUUAACGUAAUCUCGCUUCUCAUAUUCUAAAGCUGGAAAGUUGCAUGCUUUUCAUGUCUUACUGAUAGACCUUCCCAAAAGGACAAACAUAAAGUAGGCAAAUUGGUUAGGCUUGGUUUCAUUUUCUUAACCCGAAACGCGAAACCGAACAAUUUGUUUGAUAAUUUCUUUUUAAAAAAUUUAAUAGUUAUAUUGUUUUGGAAUUGAUAAAGUUGUUUGAAAUAAAUGGAAAUAACUUUAUAAAAUGAAUUAGGUUCUUAUGGGAAUUUCACAAAUGUUCUUUUUUUUUUUUUUUUUUUUUAUCCUUUAUGAAAAUAUGCUUCUCCAAACUUUAGAAUAUUAGAAACUCUUACGGAACAAAUUUGAGUGCUAAAUUAAAAUGUCCUUUGUUUUCAUUAUAUUCCAUGCAUUAUACCUUUUAUGAAAAAGAAAUAUCAAUUUCUACCAUGUUCUAACAUUUACUAAGUUACACCAACCGCUUCUGAUGCGAUUAAUCUAGCUUGGGUUUGAUACGCUCGGACUCUUCCCUCUUAGAUGUCAAAUGGGUUCAUAGAUUAUGAAGCCAAUUAGACUAUGAUUUAAAUACUUUUUUCUGAUUCUUUUGUUUAUUUUUUAUUCUUUUUUGGGGGAAAAAAAUUCGUUCUUAUCCUCGUAGCUCAAGUUGUAUAACUCUCACUCAAAGGAAAACAACCCUUAAGUUUAAGCAUUUGAUUUAUUGAGUCGUCUCUGAUCGUUUAGUUUUUGUUUGUCUCCUUUAGUCAUGUAAGGUUAGUAUGACUACUUUUUAGCAAGUUUAAAUUAUUUGUUGCUCCUGACUCUUCCCUCUUCGUUUGAACUAGUUGGAAGUAUUUAAGGUUACGUAUAACUACUUUUUAGUUAGUUUAAAUUAUUUUAUGUAAAAUUAGGUGAGUCAAUUAUGAUUAUGGGGCUCUAGAAUUAAAUUUCAAGGACUAUUUGUAA